rnacentral:rRNA from 1 species
CCGCAACGAGCGCAACCCUUGAUCCUUAGUUGCCAGCAUUUAGUUGGGCACUCU